GACGGAGGGUGCUAGCGUUGUUCGGAAUUACUGGGCGUAAAGGGCGCGUAGGCGGCCUGGUCAGUCGGAUGUGAAAGCCCGGGACUCAACCCCGGAAUUGCCUUUAAGACUGCAUCGCUAGAAUCCAGGAGAGGUGAGUGGAAUUCCGAGUGUAGAGGUGAAAUUCGUAGAUAUUGGGAAGAACACCAGUGGCGAAGGCGGCUAACUGGUCCAGAUCUGACGCUGAGGUGCGAAAGCGUGGGGAGCAAACAGG
rnacentral:rRNA from 1 species